CAGGUGAAGACACACGGAUCCCCCUUCGUCCUCUGGGAUCUGGCAGGAUUUGGACGAGGAUGACCUGCCCCUCCCCCAUACCGGAUGAUGACGCACCCUCCGGCCCAGUGCUCCACCAGGACCAGAGGCUGCCUUAAUGCCCAAUCCAGGGCCAGGUGAAGUUCCUGCAGCAGCCAUUCCUCCUCCACCAGCUCUCCUGGAGGUCUUAGAGCCGCCACCUCAGCAGGCUCCAAUCCUGGUGGCAGAAGCCUCUGGCCAGCACUUCCAGGAUCUGGCUCCAGCCGAACCGCCCAAGCUAUACCCACCUCUCCCGAUCUCAAGGACGUCUUCUUCUGCAUACACCUUGUCCCAGCAUCACAGCCCAUCUUUGCCUUUGAAUGGGAAGAUCCAGUCGGGGGCAUCAAACAACAGCUCACCUGGACUCCCCCACAAGGGUUUAAGAAUUCCCCAACCAUCUUUGGGGAAGCCUUGGCUUCUGACCUGGACUCAUUCCACCCGGAAAAGUACAGAUGUUGGCUCCUACAAUACAUGGAUGACCUGCUGCUGGUUGCCGAGACCAGGGAAAAAUGCUGGAAAGGGACAAAAGCACUGCUCCAGCUGCUGAUGGAAGCAGGUUACUGGGUGUCGAAGAAGAAGGCACAGAUCUGCAAAGAGUUAAAGUUACAGGUAUUGCCCCUUGGAUCCAUCAUACGAGGAUGAAGAGAGCAUACCACGCAGACCCAGAAAACGCUGAGUGGACUGCACAGAGGGACCCCGCUGACCCUCGAGAGACUAAGACCAUCCUUAAGAAGAAGGAAAAGAAGAUCCCGGAGCCCCUUGAGGAUGAAGCCACAUAAACAACUCCUGCUGCUUGGUCUCAUCAACAUGCACAUUCCUACGCCAACUUCCACAAUUCCUCCAACUGUUGGAACCACCAUCAACACACAGACCAGAGUGUGAACUUCUUGAGCAAAAGAGACACCCCUUUUGAUUGGAGAGUUGAGGAAGCUUCCUGGAAGAGGUGUCUUGUCAGCUGACCCUGAAUUGUUGGAUUGGGUUUCUGAUGGUCAGAAAUCCUGGAGCAGCUUAAAACAAAAUAUGAUCGACACCCAUGGGUCCACCAAUCACUCAAGAACCAGAACGUCAUAUGUCCCCUUUCAUCUACUUUCUUCCUCCCUAGGUUGGUGAAUGGAGAGCUGCGGAGAGUGGCACUUGGAGAGAGCAUGGAAGUUUGGUUCCCUUCUCCCAGGCCUUCCUUGCCCUAUGCAUCUCUUCCACCUGGCUAUUCCUGAGUUUAUAUCUGAGAAAUGGAAUAUCUCCUGCCAUAUCAGUAAACAGGACAGAGUUGGACUAUAAAGAAGGCUGAGCACUGAAGAACUGAUGCUUCCAAACUGUGGUGCUGGAGAAGACUCUUGAGAGUCCCUUGGUCAGCAAGGUAAUCAAACUAGUCAAUUCUAAAGGAAAUCAAUCCUAAAUAUUCAUUGGAAGGACUGAUGCUGAUGCUGAAGCUCCAAUACUUUGGCCACCUGAUGCAAACAGCCGACUCCUUGGAAAAGACCAUGAUGCUGGUAAAGACUGAAGGCAGGAGGAGAAGGAUGAUAGAGGAUGAGAUGGUUGGAUGGCAUCACUGACUCAAUGGACAUGGUUUUGAGGAAAUUCUGGGAGAGCGUGAAGGACAGGGAGGCCAGGCAUGCUGCAGUCCAUGGGUUCACAAAAAGUCAGACACAUGCAGUAAACAAGGGUGUCAGAGUCAUCAGUGAUUGCAGCUCUCCAAUGUGAGCCAGUGAACUGCGAGGGAACUCAGGAAUGAGAAGAAUAUCUGCCAUCCAGCCUUCAAGAUGACACUCCUUCAAGAUGAUAACGCUCCUUUGCUCUGGGAGCAUUCUUCAUUCCGAAGGAAUGUCACAGGACAGGGACUGCCAGAACCUGGAAUCACCGCGAUCAAACUUGUCACUGUCUUCCCCAAGUGGGGACACGUGGUUUUGAGGGUAUUAGUUCACUGUGUCCCCCUUUGCCUGGCAAAGCAAUAAAGCUACCCAUUUUUUCUUCAC
ensembl:lncRNA